rnacentral:lncRNA from 1 species
GUUUCACCAGUGUCUCCUAAAAGAAUUUGCCAUAACUGAGUCAGCACAGUCCUGCUUCCUCCCUGUGUCCUGGUUUCAGCCCAGGCAGUACCGCUUGCACACUGAUGUUUGGUUGUUGUGAGCGACUGGUGCACACCCAGGCCUGGGCCUCUUGGAAGGGCAGAGCGCCGCCAUGAUGGCAUGGGGCAGAGGUGGCUGCAGGGCAGGCUGGAUGAGGCCACGUGUGGCCUGCAGGCCACAGGUUGGCCAUGGCUACUCUAGUCCAUUGCAGUCAGCGUGGUUCAAGAGGAUUUGGGGACAGUGAAUGCUUCCACAACUACUGUACAAAUAACACCCAAUAUUCAAGUUUGCCAGGAUGGAGUAUAUCACAGCUUUGAAGUUGCUUGAUGGGUUGAGAGCAUAUAACUACUUUUCCCUCCUGCCAAGACCUUUCAGAGAUGAAGACAGAGGCUGUGUACCACAAACACCCAUAUUAAAUAGCCUUCUCAUCAGAUUCUUGGCAUUUAUGACAGGAAUGGAAAAGCUCAGCAACAGCAACACUGCUAAAGAAUAAAACAUCC